CUCAGUGGAAGGCAAAACCUGUUGAUUGUUUUGGCCCUAGAUCUGCGUGGGCUGUGGAUAUACAGUCUAGCCAGUCAGGUGCGUGUGAACUACAGACUGAGGUGUCUGGCCUGGCUUCGCACGCAGCAAGAUCCAGCUGGUUGGAACAAGGAUCUGCCGUCCUGCCCUUGCUCGCUGCGAGACGGAGCGUUGGAUCGGCACUACCGACGGAGCAGAGGAGGUUUGGCGGACGCCCGUGUGACGAUGCUGUAUCCAGCCUCCCCGAACCAAUACGGCGCCGGGAUCCGCUGUCUCUACAACAGCCAGAGCGAGCUCGUCGACGGGCGGCAGGAGAGAUCCUGGAAGGACUCACGCCAAGCGUCCCCUGACCGCGGUAAGCACGGCCGAGGAGUUUUGGCAGCUUGCCCCCCCCCACGCCGUGCAAUGGGAACCACGUGGGCUGGGCCCGCCUUAGCUUUUCGGUGAUUUUUCCAGGGAAAUUUAAGAUUUUUUUCUUUGACUGUCUGGGUAGCUGUGAGGCCAGUGGGUGCCUGCCCAGCGCAAGUCCGAACCUGUUACUAACUGGUGCACACCGAGCGCUGGAGACACAAGACAGGGCAGACCAGGUUUUGCAGCGGGAUCGACUUGUUACUAAUGUCAGCUCCCGCUACUUAGAAUAAUGUCACUAAAUACGAGUUCCCAGCGUUUGACAUUUUUUCCUUCAGAAAGGGCUUGGGUCGGAGUUCCUGGGUUAAGUAAAAUCCCCUCUUGGCUCUAAUGGAAGAGUUAGGUGAGAAAACACUGAUUCGGCAUUCGCCGUCGCCCAUAAACAAAGCUUAUGAAGCAUUUUAACUUCUCUGCACAUCAGUUUUUGUCAGUUUGUCUGCUAAGGGAGGAGCGACUCGUGGGACCCAAGCCAAGAGCCACUGACCGAAAUGGGGUGUUUGUUUCACUGACUCCAAGGGGCAUCGGAUUAGGCCGGUUCUGCCCAGUUCCCUGGCAGAUGUUUGUAACUUUUCCCUUCGUGACACUGCGCUGCACUUUCCCUCUCCAGAUGCAGAGUUAAAGUUGCACGACUGGUGCUGCCGGCAGGCGGGGAGCCCCCAGCUCUGUGCUAAGUACAAUCAGAAGAGACCAAAGAUCGGCUGUGCUGGAGACAGGCUGCCAAACCAAAGUGAGUUCCCAGAGCCAGGACGCAGGGACUGGGGAGUGCACCUGUCAUCUGCCAGCGUGGGCAUUAUUUUCCUAGGGGUUGGGGGCUGAAAGUGAAUGUCCCUUUGGCCAAUUUAACAACAGCCAGCAACAAAAACUAGAAGCACUCCAGAGAAUCCGGGCGUGGGUCGCUUUCUGUCUCCACCUAUAUGUUAUUUUCACCCCCUCGCACUGUGUCCUCUGCACACUUGGUGUCAAGAGAUUUCCAUGCCGAACUCACUGGGCCAGGUAAGGAUUUGUAUAGAAUCUGGAGCUGGUUGGCCCUGUGGGUCUU
rnacentral:lncRNA from 1 species